rnacentral:tRNA from 1 species
GCCUCCGUGAUGGAACAGCAGACAUGCCGGUCUCAAACACCGGUGGGCCGCGAGGCUCGUGCGAGUGCGAAUCUCGCCGGAGGUA